UCCAGACUCCUACGGGAGGCAGCAGUGGGGAAUAUUGCACAAUGGGGGAAACCCUGAUGCAGCAACGCCGCGUGAGUGAAGAAGUAUUUCGGUAUGUAAAGCUCUAUCAGCAGGGAAGAAGAUGACGGUACCUGAGUAAGAAGCCCCGGCUAACUACGUGCCAGCAGCCGCGGUAAUACGUAGGGGGCAAGCGUUAUCCGGAUUUACUGGGUGUAAAGGGAGCGUAGACGGUGAGACAAGUCUGAAGUGAAAGCCCGGGGCUCAACCCCGGGACUGCUUUGGAAACUGCCUGACUGGAGUGCUGGAGAGGCAAGCGGAAUUCCUAGUGUAGCGGUGAAAUGCGUAGAUAUUAGGAAGAACACCAGUGGCGAAGGCGGCUUGCUGGACAGUAACUGACGUUGAGGCUCGAAAGCGUGGGGAGCAAACAGGAUUAGAUACCCUUGUACA
rnacentral:rRNA from 1 species